rnacentral:rRNA from 1 species
GACGAACGCUGGCGGCGCGCUUAACACAUGCAAGUCGAGCGAAGCGGCGGACGGGUGAGUAACACGUGAGUAACCUGCCUUAGACAUUGGGAUAGCCUCGGGAAACCGGGAUUAAUACCAAAUGGUCUAAGAUGGACUCGCAUCCCAGUAGCUAGUUGGUGAGGUAACGGCCCACCAAGGCGACGACGGGUAGCCGGCCUGAGAGAGUGGGCGGCCACUCUUGAGCUGAGCAACAGUGCGAAAUCUACGCGAGGCAGGAGUGGGGGAUAUUGCACAAUGGAGGGAACUCUGAUGCAGCGACGGCGCGUGAACGAUGAAGGCUGUCGAGUCGUAAAGUUCUUUUAUAUGCGAAGCGGUACCCUAAGAAAAAGCCCCGGCUAACUACGUGCCAGCAGCCGCGGUAAUUC